CACAGUUAUACAUAUACACUGUCAAAUCCACCACACCACCGCACACAGUCGCAGGCAAAUGGUCACAUACACAGGCAGAAACACACAAGUACAGGCAGUAACACACAUACACAGUUACAGGCAGAUAAACACACACACACACACGCACACACAAUUACAGGUAGACAGCCACACACACACACACACACACACACACACACACAAGCAGACAGCCCCACAUAUACAGCCACACAUACAGUCUUACACACACAUACUUACAUGCAGACAGUCACACUUAUUCGCACACACACACACACGAAGACAGCCACACACUCACACACACAGGCAGACAGCCAGACACACACACACACACACAGGCAGGCAGCCAAACACACACAAGAAGACAUCCACACACAGAGGCAGGC